rnacentral:rRNA from 1 species
GAUUUCUGCUUGACCGCCCUGGCCCGCCUCUUUCGGGAGGUGAGUGCUGGUGCGAGUCUUGCAUCCUUCUAGAGAGCCGUGCCUGCUGUUCACUCAGCUGGGCGUGUGCGAUCUAGAUCUUUUACUUUGAAAAAAUUAGAGUGUUUAAAGCAGGCUUACGCUGUGAAUACAUUAGCAUGGAAUAAUAAUAUAGGACUUUGGUCUUAUUUUGUUGGUUUCUAGGACUGAAGUAAUGAUUGAUAGGGAUAGUUGGGGGUGCUAGUAUUCAGCGGCCAGAGGUGAAAUUCUCGGAUUCGCUGAAGACUAACUUAUGCGAAAGCAUU